GUGUCAGCCGCCGCGGUAAUACAGAGGGUGCAAACGUUGCUCGGAAUCACUGGGCGUAAAGCGCGUGUAGGCGGGACGGAAAGUCGGGUGUGAAAUCCCUGGGCUCAACCCAGGAACUGCAUCCGAAACUGCCAUUCUAGAGUGUCGGAGAGGAAAGCGGAAUUCCUGGUGUAGAGGUGAAAUUCGUAGAUAUCAGGAGGAACACCGGUGGCGAAGGCGGCUUUCUGGACGACAACUGACGCUGAGACGCGAAAGCGUGGGGAGCAAACAGGAUUAGAAACCCGUGUAGUCC
rnacentral:rRNA from 1 species